AGUCGAACGCUUCUUUCCUCCCGAGUGCUUGCACUCAACUGGAAAGAGGAGUGGCGGACGGGUGAGUAACACGUGGGUAACCUACCCAUCAGAGGGGGAUAACACUUGGAAACAGGUGCUAAUACCGCAUAACAGUUUAUGCCGCAUGGCAUAAGAGUGAAAGGCGCUUUCGGGUGUCGCUGAUGGAUGGACCCGCGGUGCAUUAGCCAGUUGGUGAGGUAACGGCUCACCAAGGCCACGAUGCAUAGCCGACCUGAGAGGGUGAUCGGCCACACUGGGACUGAGACACGGCCCAGACUCCUACGGGAGGCAGCAGUAGGGAAUCUUCGGCAAUGGACGAAAGUCUGACCGAGCAACGCCGCGUGAGUGAAGAAGGUUUUCGGAUCGUAAAACUCUGUUGUUAGAGAAGAACAAGGACGUUAGUAACUGAACGUCCCCUGACGGUAUCUAACCAGAAAGCCACGGCUAACUACGUGCCAGCAGCCGCGGUAAUACGUAGGUGGCAAGCGUUGUCCGGAUUUAUUGGGCGUAAAGCGAGCGCAGGCGGUUUCUUAAGUCUGAUGUGAAAGCCCCCGGCUCAACCGGGGAGGGUCAUUGGAAACUGGGAGACUUGAGUGCAGAAGAGGAGAGUGGAAUUCCAUGUGUAGCGGUGAAAUGCGUAGAUAUAUGGAGGAACACCAGUGGCGAAGGCGGCUCUCUGGUCUG
rnacentral:rRNA from 1 species